AGGUUAAAAUAAAAUGAAUCUAAGUUGAAAACAAAAAUUAGGUGCUAUCAUCUUCUUCUUUCUCUCAUUCCAUGGUCAAACACCAUUGUUAGGGAGAGGGAAGCUUCGGCCUUGUCCAUUUCUUUGCAUUGAUUCUGGUGUAAUACUGGGGGUAGAUAUAAUGCCUUCGAGCUCGGCAAUUGGUGUCCAAGCGUGUUUUCGGAGGGAUGAUAGCCUACGGUCUAGGCACUUGGUGUCGAGGCAUAUUUUCGGUUGGAUUGGCUCGUUUGAGCUUUUUGGUGCAUUUCAGAUAUCGUUUUGUGGAAUUGGACGAUUGGAUCAACUUGAAGAUCACACUAUCCAGAGACCUAUCGAUAGAUUUUGACAUGUUUAUCUUAGGGUUAUAUGUCAUGUAAUAGGAGUCUUGUAUGUGUUUUGAAUACUUAUCCCAUGUGAUGCAUUUUGUACUUGGAUGAUGUUGUUUUAACUUGGUUUUUGGUUUACUUGUUUAUGUCGUUAGCUUUUGGUUUGUAAAGUUCCAUAUAUAUACAAGUUUU